UGUUUGACGGUACCUAUAAAGGAAGCACCGGCUAACUCCGUGCCAGCAGCCGCGGUAAUACGGGGGGUGCAAGCGUUGUUCGGAAUUAUUGGGCGUAAAGCGCGUGUAGGCGGUCUGAUUAGUCUGAUGUGAAAGCCCUGGGCUCAACCCAGGAAGUGCAUUGGAUACUGUCAGACUUGAAUACGGGAGAGGGUAGUGGAAUUCCUAGUGUAGGAGUGAAAUCCGUAGAUAUUAGGAGGAACACCGGUGGCGAAGGCGGCUACCUGACCGAUAUUGACGCUGAGACGCGAAAGCGUGGGUAGCAAACAGGAUUAGAUACCCUGGUAGUCCACGCCGUAAACGAUGAGAACUAGGUGUUGCGGGUA
rnacentral:rRNA from 1 species